GAUGAACGCUGGCGGCGUGCCUAAUACAUGCAAGUCGAGCGAACGGACGAGAAGCUUGCUUCUCUGAUGUUAGCGGCGGACGGGUGAGUAACACGUGGAUAACCUACCUAUAAGACUGGGAUAACUUCGGGAAACCGGAGAUAAUACCGGAUAAUAUUUUGAACCGCAUGGUUCAAAAGUGAAAGACGGUCUUGCUGUCACUUAUAGAUGGAUCCGCGCUGCAUUAGCUAGUUGGUAAGGUAACGGCUUACCAAGGCAACGAUGCAUAGCCGACCUGAGAGGGUGAUCGGCCACACUGGAACUGAGACACGGCCCAGACUCCUACGGGAGGCAGCAGUAGGGAAUCUUCCGCAAUGGGCGAAAGCCUGACGGAGCAACGCCGCGUGAGUGAUGAAGGUCUUCGGAUCGUAAAACUCUGUUAUUAGGGAAGAACAUAUGUGUAAGUAACUGUGCACAUCUUGACGGUACCUAAUCAGAAAGCCACGGCUAACUACGUG
rnacentral:rRNA from 1 species